rnacentral:sRNA from 2 species
GCUUUCUCGAUUGGGCCCCUCGUAUACCUGUCCCAAGUUAGGGUUUCCCGAUACAAUAAAUGGGCGCUACGAGGCGUUUUUGUUAUCGGUUUGGCGGCCUCUGCAUGUGCAAUAGCAAAAGCUACCGAGUUGCCCGCAAUUCUAAACACUAAGGAUCCGACAUAUGCAGCCGUGAAUUUGACAAUCUGGGUGAAAGCCGAGUUUAAUGCUGGUCUUUUCGCCGCAUCACUACCGCCUCUGAAAUCAACGUUCGAGAGAGUACUGAGGAAGUUCGGUGUCAUGAGUGGCCUCUCGACACCAUCUAAUACACGUUCAUAUGGAAACGGAGCAUAUUCUGGAAGAAAGAGGUACGGGGACCAAAGCUCUCGCGGAAGACGCCAGACCUCACUAGCCUAUGGCUUUGGAGAUGAUGACGCCGAGGAGAGGACAGCAUAUGCUAUGAAAGAUGUUAGCCGAUCAUCGCCAACCAACACUGGAAGCAUGGAUGAAGACCAAAAGCAGAUCUUGCCUGCAGAUGGGAGUGACGGCUAUAUAACAAGAACGACUGAAUACUCAGUGAGCCGUGCGACUUUGGCCUCGCGUAAUGAUGCG